rnacentral:rRNA from 1 species
AAGAUUUCAUCGGUAUGGGAUGGGGUCGCGUCCUAUCAGGUAGUCGGCGGGGUAACGGCCCACCGAGCCUACGACGGGUAGCCGGCCUGAGAGGGCGACCGGCCACAUUGGGACUGAGAUACGGCCCAGACUCCUACGGGAGGCAGCAGUGGGGAAUAUUGCACAAUGGGCGCAAGCCUGAUGCAGCGACGCCGCGUGCGGGAUGACGGCCUUCGGGUUGUAAACCGCUUUUGAUCGGGAGCAAGCCUUCGGGUGAGUGUACCUUUCGAAUAAGCACCGGCUAACUACGUGCCAGCAGCCGCGGUAAUACGUAGGGCGCAAGCGUUAUCCGGAUUUAUUGGGCGUAAAGGGCUCGUAGGCGGCUCGUCGCGUCCGGUGUGAAAGUCCAUCGCUUAACGGUGGAUCUGCGCCGGGUACGGGCGGGCUGGAGUGCGGUAGGGGAUACUGGAAUUCCCGGUGUAACGGUGG